rnacentral:rRNA from 1 species
GUGUCAGCCGCCGCGGUAAUACGGGGGGAGCAAGCGUUGUCCGGAAUCACUGGGCGUAAAGGGCGUGUAGGCGGGCUGGUAAGUCAGAUGUGAAAUCCCACGGCUUAACCGUGGAAUUGCAUUUGAAACUGCCAGUCUUGAGUGCGAGAGAGGGUAGUGGAAUUCCCGGUGUAGCGGUGAAAUCCGUAGAUAUCGGCAAGAACGCCGGUGGGGAAGCCGGUCUCCUGGGCUGAGCCUGGCGCUGAGGCCCUAAAGCUAGGGGAGCGAACGGGGUUAGAUACCCCGGUAGUCCUAGCCGUAAACGAUGCUCACUAGGUGUGGGGCGCACAUGCGCUCUGUGCUGAAGCUAACGCGUUAAGUGAGCCGCCUGGGGAGUAUGCCCGCAAGGGUGAAACUCAAAGGAAUUGGCGGGG